GUGGGUAGCGAACAGGAUUAGAUCCCCUGGUAGUCCACACCGUAAACGCUGUCUACUAGCUGUUUGUGAAUAUUAUUCGUGAGUGGCGAAGCUAACGCGCUAAGUAGACCGCCUGGGGAGUACGGCCGCAAGGUUAAAACUCAAAUGAAUUGACGGGGGCCCGCACAAGCGGUGGAGCAUGUGGUUUAAUUCGAUGCAACGCGAAGAACCUUACCUACACUUGACAUGCAGAGAAGAUUUCAGAGAUGGAAUUGUGCCUUCGGGAACUCUGACACAGGUGCUGCAUGGCUGUCGUCAGCUCGUGUCGUGAGAUGUUGGGUUAAGUCCCGCAACGAGCGCAACCCUCAUCCUUAGUUGCCAUCACGUUUGGGUGGGCACUCUAGGGAAACUGCCGGUGCUAAGCCGGAGGAAGGCGGGGAUGACGUCAAGUCCUCAUGGCCCUUACGGGUUGGGCUACACACGUGCUACAAUGGCAGUGACAAUGGGAUAAUCCCCAAAAGCUGUCUCAGUUCGGAUUGUCGGCUGCAACUCGCCGGCAUGAAGUUGGAAUCGCUAGUAAUCGUGGAUCAGCAUGCCACGGUGAAUACGUUCCCGGGCCUUGUACACACCGCCCGUCACACCAUGGGAGUGGGAUGCAAAAGAAGUGGAUAGUCUAACCUUCGGGAGGACGUUCACCACUUUGUGUUUCAUGACUGGGGUGAAGUCGGAACAAGGUAACCCUAGGGGAAC
rnacentral:rRNA from 1 species